rnacentral:rRNA from 1 species
UACGGAGGGAGCUAGCGUUGCUCGGAAUCACUGGGCGUAAAGGGUGCGUAGGCGGGUCUUUAAGUCAGGGGUGAAAUCCUGGAGCUCAACUCCAGAACUGCCUUUGAUACUGAGGAUCUUGAGUUCGGGAGAGGUGAGUGGAACUGCGAGUGUAGAGGUGAAAUUCGUAGAUAUUCGCAAGAACACCAGUGGCGAAGGCGGCUCACUGGCCCGAUACUGACGCUGAGGCACGAAAGCGUGGGGAGCAAACAGG